rnacentral:rRNA from 1 species
GAUGAACGCUGGCGGCGUGCCUAAUACAUGCAAGUCGAGCGAACAGACGAGGAGCUUGCUCCUCUGACGUUAGCGGCGGACGGGUGAGUAACACGUGGAUAACCUACCUAUAAGACUGGUAUAACUUCGGGAAACCGGCGCUAAUACCGUAUAACCUGUUGAACCGCAUGGUUCAACAGUGAAAGACGGUCUUGCUGUCACUUAUCGAUGGAUCCGCACCGCAUUAGCUAGUUGGUAAGGUAACGGCUUACCAAGGCAACGCUGCGUAGCCGACCGCAGAGGGUGAUAGGCCACACGGGAACUUAGACACGGUCCAGACUCCUACGGGAGGCAGCAGUAGGGAAUCUUCCGCAAUGGGCGAAAGCCUGACGGAGCAACGCCGCGUGAGUGAAGGAGGUCUUCAGAUCGUAAAACUCUGUUAUUAGGGAAGAACAAAUGUGUAAGUAACUAUGCACGUAUUGACGGUACCUAAUCAGAAAGCCACGGCUAACUACGUG